rnacentral:tmRNA from 1 species
AAAAUUGAAUAUUUUAAAUAAUGUUUUAUAUUAUUGAUGUUGGUUUUCCAACUACGACGAUAAACGAAUUUCGUAAUAAACAUUACGGACCAGGGGGCAGUACCCUGCACCUCCACCAUUUACAACUUAUGGGGGUGAACUAGAAUCGACGAGUGUCUAAAGGCUAUUCUUUCGUUCGGGAUUGUUCCGUCGUUAUCGGGCUAAAUUAUAAUUGCAAAUGAUAAAUUUGCUCUCGCUGCUUAAAUUUAUUUAAGAAAGCGCGG